rnacentral:lncRNA from 1 species
CGGCGCUGGGCUUGGCCGGGCCUCACUUCCCGGGGAGGCAGAGCCGCCUCACCGACCCCUCUCCGCCCCGGCGGGGCAGCCGCACCACGCCCCCCGCCCAGAGCCCAGGAGGCGGGGUGUCUAGCCCGCAGCGCCUCCCUGUCCUCAGCCUUCAGCAUAGAAGCGGACCCCCUUCCGGCCCCAGCACCUGAAGGCAGGGCCCUUCCACCCCGCGCCACUGGGCGCAGGGCUUUGCACACCCACCGGGCACGAGCACCUUCCCGUCCACUCUCCCACCCUGGGGUCCAGGCCGUGGCUAACGGCUGCCAGCCAAGACCCUGCUGGGCCCCUUCCCGGAAGAAUUCCAGGCUCUCCACCCCAUGCUCCGCCUCCACUUGCGUUGGCCCUGUGCCCACAGCCUGGCGAGCCUUGAAGGAUGGCACAUUAGGACCCGAGUGGGGUGGGACAGGGGCCAACACAGAGAUGCAUCUCGUGUCUUCUGAACAUUGAGCCUGGAUUCAAGUGGAGCUAAAAGAACAGGACUGCACCGGCUCGAACGCCCGAGACCUGAACAUCCCCUAGGACAGCGAGCGCCAGCACGAGCCCAGGGCCACUGCGUGAGGGCCCCAUCCUAAAUCCGCAAAGCCCGAACCGGCUCAGCCCUGUAGGGAAGCGCAUCUUUGUACCUGUAAGUGCCUGGUCCAAGGGGUUUCAGGGGCCAGCCACAUGGCAUGGCCACACCCAACCUGCCUGCCCCCUAGAGAAGUAGGGUCUUCAAUGGAGUGCCAAGCCAGUGCCUACACGUGUUUUGUGGCUGUCGGGGGCUGAGCACAGAGCUCCAUCAUCCGUCUGGAGUAUACCCUGGGGGAAUCACCAUGUGUCCCUGGCAGAAACUGGAGGUGAGGCUGGUGCUCCGAAAGCAAAUUCUCUUUCAGAAGGGUGGGGAAAACAGAGCUGGGUUGAAGUCCAGGUUCCCCGAAUCUAGCUGUGCUGCUUCAACUCUAUGCAGCUCCUGUUUGGUGUUAUUGUAGUGCACAAGGUCAAGGACAAGCUUUGAACUUAGGUU